CGGGAGGCUGCAGCAGUGAGGAAUAUUGCACAAUGGGGGGAACCCUGAUGCAGCAACGCCGCGUGGAGGAUGACGCAUUUCGGUGUGUAAACUCCUUUUAUAUGUCAAGAAAAUGACGGUAGCAUAUGAAUAAGCACCGGCUAACUCCGUGCCAGCAGCCGCGGUAAUACGGAGGGUGCAAGCGUUACGCGGAAUCACUGGGAGUAAAGGACGCGUAGGCGGGUUGGAAAGUCAGGUGUGAAAUCCUACAGCUUAACUGUAGAACUGCACUUGAAACUUCUAAUCUAGAGUAUGGGAGGGGGAGAUGGAAUUAGUGGUGUAGGGGUAAUAUCCGUAGAUAUCACUAGGAAUACCUAAAGCGAAGGCGAUCUCCUGGAACAUUACUGACGCUAAGGCGUGAAAGCGUGGGGAGCAAACAGGAUUAGAUACCCGUGUAGUC
rnacentral:rRNA from 1 species